rnacentral:rRNA from 1 species
UACGUAGGGUCCGAGCGUUGUUCGGAAUGACUGGGCGUAAAGCGCGUGUAGGCGGCUCGGCAAGUCGGAUGUGAAAGCCCUGGGCUCAACCCAGGAAGUGCACUCGAAACUGCCGAGCUGGAGUCCCGGAGAGGAAGGCGGAAUUCUCGGUGUAGAGGUGAAAUUCGUAGAUAUCGAGAGGAACACCGGUGGCGAAGGCGGCCUUCUGGACGGCGACUGACGCUGAGACGCGAAAGCGUGGGGAGCAAACAGG